GACAGAGGUGCCGAGCGUUAGGCGGAAUCACUGGGCUUAAAGCGUGUGUAGGCGGAUGGGUAAGUACCUUGUGAAAUCCCACGGCUCAACCGUGGAACUGCUCGGUAUACUGCUCGUCUUGAGCCAACUAGGGGCGACCGGAACAAACGGUGGAGCGGUGAAAUGCGUAGAUAUCGUUUGGAACGCCGAUGGUGAAAACAGGUCGCUGGGGUUGUGCCGACGCUGAGACACGAAAGCCAGGGGAGCAAACGGG
rnacentral:rRNA from 1 species